rnacentral:rRNA from 1 species
UACGUAGGUGGCAAGCGUUGUCCGGAUUUACUGGGGCGUAAAAGAGCGCGCAGGCGGGCUGGUCAAGUCCGAUGUGGAAAUCUCCCGGCUCAACUGGGAAACUGCAUCGGAAACUGAUCGGCUUGAAGGUGGGAGAGGGUAGUUGGAAUUCCCGGUGUAGUGGUGAAAUGCGUAGAUAUCGGGAGGAACACCAGUGGCGAAGGCGACUACCUGGCCCAUUCUUGACGCUGAGGCGCG